rnacentral:rRNA from 1 species
CCUACGGGCGGCAGCAGUGGGGAAUGUUGCGCAAUGAUCGGAAGAGUGACGCAGCGACGCCGCGUGAAUGACGAAGGCCUUCGGGUCGUAAAGUUCUUUCGACAGGGAAGAAAAUGCCGAUAAGUAACUGUGUAUGUAUUGACGGUACCGGUAGAAGCAGCCCCGGCUAACUCCGUGCCAGCAGCCGCGGUAAUACGGAGGGGGCGAGCGUUGGUUGGAUUGACUGGGGGGAAAGAGCACGUAGGCGGUGUUGUAAGUCAUUAGUCAAAGACUAGAGCUCAACUUUAGGAAGGCUAGUGAUACUCUAAUCCUAGAGUAUCAGAGAGGAUUGCAGACUUCCUGGUGUAGCGGU